rnacentral:tRNA from 1 species
GUCGAUAGGGUGUCUGAGGGCAUAACAAUUUUUCGUGUUGUAGGUAGUACUUUGUGUACUUUUCGAUA